rnacentral:rRNA from 1 species
UAGUCCACGCUGUAAACGAUGAUUACUAGAUGUUCGGAUUUCGGUCUGAGUGUCCAAGCGAAAGCGAUAAGUAAUCCACCUGGGGAGUACGUUCGCAAGAAUGAAACUCAAAGGAAUUGACGGGGGCCCGCACAAGCGGUGGAGCAUGUGGUUUAAUUCGAUGAUACGCGAGGAACCUUACCUGGGCUACAAUGCCUCUGCUAUUCUGUGAAAGCAGAAGUUCCUUCGGGACAGAGUGCAAGGUGCUGCAUGGUUGUCGUCAGCUCGUGCCGUGAGGUGUUGGGUUAAGUCCCGCAACGAGCGCAACCCUUGUCUUUAGUUGCCAUCAUUAAGUUGGGCACUUUAAAGAGACUGCCGGUGACAAACCGGAGGAAGGUAAGGAUGACGUCAAGUCAGCAUGCCCCUUAUGCUCUGGGCUACACACGUGCUACAAUGGCCGUGACAAAGAGUUGCUACUUUGUGAAAACAAGCUAAUCUCAUAAACGCGGCCUCAGUUCGGAUUG